UCUCGUGACUUCUGCUUUGGCUUCUACCUUUGGUUUGAUUUUAUGUUACUCUUUGUUAGGCCAGUUCCCAGCCACCCUUGAGUCCAAGGGUGUGCAGGUUUCUUUAUACAGAAAUGAUGUGCAGGCAGCAUCCAGUCCUCUUUCCUGAUGUUACCUUGACUCGUUUUGCAAAGCAGACAAGUUCCCAAGUGUGGGUGCCCUGUGCCAAUUAGAGCUGUCUUGCCAACUCAAUGAGUGGCCCCGUCGGCAGCCAGCCCUGAAGGUGGCCAGCACACAGCUAGCAGAGGUCCCGAGGUCAUCUAAGCACCAGCACCACUCAGUGGGGCUCUGAAUCUCACAGAUCCCCCCUGCCUGAGCUGUCCUGCCAACUCAGCACAGC
rnacentral:lncRNA from 1 species